ensembl:snRNA U5 U5 spliceosomal RNA
AUACUCUGGUUUCUCUUCAGAUCGUAUAAAUCUUUCGCCUUUUACUAAAGAUUUCCGUGGAGAGGAACAACUCUGAGUCUUAAGCCAAUUUUUUGAGGCCUUGCUCCGGCAAGGCU